rnacentral:rRNA from 1 species
UACGUAGGUGGCAAGCGUUGUCCGGAAUUAUUGGGCGUAAAGCGCGCGCAGGCGGUCCUUUAAGUCUGAUGUGAAAGCCCACGGCUCAACCGUGGAGGGUCAUUGGAAACUGGGGGACUUGAGUGCAGAAGAGGAGAGUGGAAUUCCACGUGUAGCGGUGAAAUGCGUAGAGAUGUGGAGGAACACCAGUGGCGAAGGCGACUCUCUGGUCUGUAACUGACGCUGAGGUGCGAAAGCGUGGGGAGCGAACAGG